rnacentral:lncRNA from 1 species
ACAUAUGCUUUUUUUUUUACUUCUUAUUUAUCAAUAUAGGAGCAAAUUUUUAAUUGAUAUAUCCAAUCCAUACCGUGGGGGGCUUUGCAAAAUAUUUUGUUAUCUAUUUUUUUUGUGCAAAAUAUUUUGUUAAAAUUUGUCGCACCACGAAGCUUUCAGUGAAUCAAGGGAACAAAAAUCGAUCUCCUAAAUAAAUUUUGAUCAGAUAUUUUUAAAAAGAAUAAAAGAACAAAAAAUAUGGACGUAAUAUCGGAAAUACAUGACUUUCUCACAAUACCAGUACUACUUAUAUCAAUAUUGUCAAAUAAAUUUUGUAUCUGCAUAUGACAAUAUGCCAUAUGAUCAAGCGUGACGAUAUAUGUCGAAUUAAGCAGUUAUCUCUAUAUAAAGAUGUAAAUUUAAAUAAUUAUUGUAUUUGUGAAUUAAAUUAUUGUAUUUUAAUUUUUAUUCUACAUCAGGUUUAGUUGUAUUUUACUUACAAAAAGUUUACAUGCAUGUUAAUUGAUGAGUAUUGUAAGAUAUAUAUAGUAAAUAUUCAUAAUUAUUUAUUUAAAUCUUUCAAAAUAAUAUUAUAAGAGUUUAUUGGGACCAAAAAAAUUAAAAUAAGUCUGUGCUAAAGCGUGCCAGUAGAAGGUCAUGCGACACGCAAUCGUGCCUAUGCCGUACCGUGCCAGGGACAUAACUAUACGCCCCCAUGUCACGGCACUUUAAACCUUGCGUAGAAGUAUCCAAAUCAAAUGAAAUUUUGAUAGAAAAUUCUUUAUACUAUCUACAACAAGUUUAAUAUCUCUGAUCGUAAAUUUUAGUACUAUAUCACCACUUUUUAUGAGAUUUUUAUUUUCAGCCGUUGAUUUUGAACCCUUUCGAUCACUGAGUAAAUGAUAUCGAAAAAUCACAAAAUUUAUUUUCUAGAUACUUCAAAUAUGCUAGAUCAAGUAUAGCGGAACCGAUCGUCGAUUCGGGAGUCCCAUCAUCAAACACGGCUCAGGAGCACGAAGGGCUCUAUAUUCCUAAAAGCACAGCAGCCCUGCUCUCUCUCUCCCUCUCUCUCUCUCUGUAAGGACUGAGUUUUUUGACAGUGCUACUAAACUCUCUGUUGAUGAUGUUUAUGUGUGUAAUUUAAUUACAUAAGCACUCGUCAAGUUUCGGGCGAAAAUGAGCUAAAAUGGAGAAGAUACGCGACUUUUAGUUUUCACUUAAGUGAAUAGUAACUCCGGUUUUCCGGAGAAGCCACGGAGUAGAGUUGGCUUCUGGCGCGUAUCGGACUCCGUUCAUAUCAGUCCAAUAGCUCGUUUCGACCGGUUCAGCUGUUUUGGAACCUAUGGCACUGACGGAAUUGGAUUUGGAUGCACGGAUUUCGAGAAAAAGGGGUUUAAUGGUUUUUG